AGCGAACGCUGGCGGCAGGCCUAACACAUGCAAGUCGAACGAAGUCUUCGGACUUAGUGGCGGACGGGUGAGUAACACGUGGGAACGUGCCUUUAGGUUCGGAAUAACUCAGGGAAACUUGUGCUAAUACCGAAUGUGCCCUUCGGGGGAAAGAUUUAUCGCCUUUAGAGCGGCCCGCGUCUGAUUAGCUAGUUGGUGAGGUAAAGGCUCACCAAGGCGACGGUCAGUAGCUGGUCUGAGAGGAUGUUCAGCCACAUUGGGACUGAGACACGGCCCAAACUCCUACGGGAGGCAGCAGUGGGGAAUCUUGCGCAAUGGGCGAAAGCCUGACGCAGCCAUGCCGCGUGGAUGAUGAAGGUCUUAGGAUUGUAAAAUCCUUUCACCGGUGAAGAUAAUGACUGUAGCCGGAGAAGAAGCCCCGGCUAACUUCGUGCCAGCCGCCGCAGUAAGAC
rnacentral:rRNA from 1 species